rnacentral:rRNA from 1 species
GUGAAAUCCGGAGGCUCAACCUCCGGCCUGCAGUGGGUACGGGCAGACUAGAGUGCGGUAGGGGAGAUUGGAAUUCCUGGUGUAGCGGUGGAAUGCGCAGAUAUCAGGAGGAACACCGAUGGCGAAGGCAGAUCUCUGGGCCGUAACUGACGCUGAGGAGCGAAAGGGUGGGGAGCAAACAGGCUUAGAUACCCUGGUAGUCCACCCCGUAAACGUUGGGAACUAGUUGUGGGGUCCAUUCCACGGAUUCCGUGACGCAGCUAACGCAUUAAGUUCCCCGCCUGGGGAGUACGGCCGCAAGGCUAAAACUCAAAGGAAUUGACGGGGACCCGCACAAGCGGCGGAGCAUGCGGAUUAAUUCGAUGCAACGCGAAGAACCUUACCAAGGCUUGACAUAUACGAGAACGGGCCAGAAAUGGUCAACUCUUUGGACACUCGUAAACAGGUGGUGCAUGGUUGUCGUCAGCUCGUGUCGUGAGAUGUUGGGUUAAGUCCCGCAACGAGCGCAACCCUCGUUCUAUGUUGCCAGCACGUAAUGGUGGGAACUCAUGGGAUACUGCCGGGGUCAACUCGGAGGAAGGUGGGGAUGACGUCAAAUCAUCAUGCCCCUUAUGUCUUGGGCUUCACGCAUGCUACAAUGGCCGGUACAAAGGGCUGCAAUACCGCGAGGUGGAGCGAAUCCCAAAAAGCCGGUCCCAGUUCGGAUUGAGGUCUGCAACUCGACCUCAUGAAGUCGGAGUCGCUAGUAAUCGCAGAUCAGCAACGCUGCGGUGAAUACGUUCCCGGGUCUUGUACACACCGCCCGUCAAGUCAUGAAAGUCGGUAACACCUGAAGCCGGUGGCCUAACCCUUGUGGAGGGAGC